GACGAACGCUGGCGGCGUGCUUAACACAUGCAAGUCGAACGGAAAGGCCCUGCUUUUGGGGGGUGCUCGAGUGGCGAACGGGGGAGUAACACGUGAGUAACCUGCCCUUGACUUUGGGAUAACUUCAGGAAACUGGGGCUAAUACCGGAUAGGAGCUCCUGCUGCAUGGUGGGGGUUGGAAAGUUUCGGCGGUUGGGGAUGGACUCGCGGCUUAUCAGCUUGUUGGUGGGGUAGUGGCUUACCAAGGCUUUGCCGGGUAGCCGGCCUGCGAGGGUGACCGGCCACAUUGGGAUGGAGGUACGGCCCAGCCUCAUCCGGGAGGCAGCAGUGGGGAAUAUUGCACAAUGGGAGGAAGCAUGAUGCAGCACCGCCGCGUGCGGGAUGACGGCAUUCGGGUUGUAAACCGCUUUCGCCUGUGACGAAGCGUGAGUGACGGUAAUGGGUAAAGAAGCACCGGCUAACUACGUG
rnacentral:rRNA from 1 species